GCCGGGGUACCCAAGCUAGGUAAGGGGUCAGCCUCGAGAUCUAAUAAUGAGGAAAAUUAAGGAUAGAUAGCUGAUGUCCUUCCGGACUCGUGGGUUCGAGUCCCACCUCCGGCG
rnacentral:tRNA from 1 species